GGGUGUCCGCACAUCGGCGCGGGCAGGGAAUAGCGCUGGUCGGGCCGCCAGCG
rnacentral:ncRNA from 12 species